CCCCGCCUAGCUCAAUCGGAUAGAGCGUCAGACUCUUAUGGACCAUAUAGCUAGGCGAUCUGAAGGCUGCGAGUUCGACCCUCGCGGUGGGCU